CAAUAGCGUAUAUUAAAGUUGUUGCAGUUAAAAAGCUCGUAGUUGGAUUUCUGGCCGAGUGUCCCUAGGCCAGCAUGACGUUUGGUCCUAGGCGCUCUGCCAUCCUUCUGUCAACUUUCGCCUUCUUCAUUGGGGGCGCUGGGGCUCAGAUAUUUUACCUUGAGAAAAUUAGAGUGUUUCAGGCAGGCUUUCGCCGGAAUACAUUAGCAUGGAAUAAUGGAAAAGGACUUCAACCUCUUCUGUUGGUCUGAGAGGCUGUAGUAAUGAUUAAUAGGGAUAUUGGGGGCGAUUAGUACUUAACUGUCAGAGGUGAAAUUCUUGGAUUUGUUUAAAGACGGACUACUGCGAAAGCAUUUGUCCAAGGAUGUUUUUCAUUGAUCAAGAACGAAAGUUAAGGGGAG
rnacentral:rRNA from 1 species